CAGGAAAGAUUCAAGUUUAUGUCUGAGAAUUAGAUAGGUCACCACACCAGACUGUCUUCUGCUUAUGAUUGACAUGUGGCUGCAGAUUCCUGAAAAGUUUUUCACAAAACAAGUCAUUUUCGUGCCUUUGAACUAAAUCAGAAUUACCUCCAUGAAUGUCCAGGCAACGGUGUUAAUAAGCGACCCAGACAGAUCUGUCCUUAUAUGAUUGUAGCUUUUCAGGACAGGGACCCUAAAAAGAUGGCAGCACCUGCUUACAGAAGCACAUUUGAACUCAAUAAAAAUG